rnacentral:snRNA from 1 species
GGAUGUGAGAGCAAUUUGGCUGCGACAUCUGUCACCCCAUUGAUUGCCAGGGUUGAUUCAGCUGAUCUGACUGGCUAGAUGGGUGUGUUCCUCCCUCACUGCUCCAUGUGUGUCCCUCCCAGAACUGCACGCUCGGUGGAAGAGGAUGACCAUCCCAGAUAGAAGGAGUGUAUCGAUCUUCGGUCAAGGAUGAGAUGUGGAAACCCGGUUUAGUCAGGAAAGCAGAAGACAUUGACUAAGAUUUAUAUUAACUUUCCUGAAGAUAAGAAAAGCAAGACAUCUUAGAGAGUUAUUUAUCUUUGUAGAGAUUAAU